rnacentral:rRNA from 1 species
AGCGAACGCUGGCGGCAGGCCUAACACAUGCAAGUCGAACGAACCUUUCGGGGUUAGUGGCGGACGGGUGAGUAACACGUGGGAACGUGCCUUUAGGUUCGGAAUAACUCAGGGAAACUUGUGCUAAUACCGAAUGUGCCCUUCGGGGGAAAGAUUUAUCGCCUUUAGAGCGGCCCGCGUCUGAUUAGCUAGUUGGUUAAGGUAAUGGCUCACCAAGGCGACGAUCAGUAGCUGGUCUGAGAGGAUGAACAGCCACAUUGGGACUGAGACACGGCCCAAACUCCUACGGGAGGCAGCAGUGGGGAAUCUUGCGCAAUGGGCGAAAGCCUGACGCAGCCAUGCCGCGUGAAUGAUGAAGGUCUUAGGAUUGUAAAAUUCUUUCACCGGGGACGAUAAUGACGGUACCCGGAGAAGAAGCCCCGGCUAACUUCGUG